UCUCCGCACCUCAGACCCGCGCAGCCCCCGCCGUGCUAAAGGCGGUUCCAUCACCACUGCACCAGGGGGCCUGGGACCACAGCGGUUCCGGAGAGGUCCGCGCGUCAGACCACAGCCUCCCUCUGGUGGAGACCAGGGCCUGGCACCGCAAGUCCGUUCUGUCACUUCUCCGUAAGCGCGCAGUGCUCGCUUUGGUUUUCAACAAAAUGUCUCUUUAGAGAAUUUGUCCUGCUGUCCAUCUAUCCUGUGUGGACCCUCAGAUCAGGCCACUUUGUCAGGACAAGCCCAUGGGAAGAGGAUCCCUGCCUUCAACUUGCCACACCUGAUGGCACAAUUCCCCAAACUCAGCAGCUGAGGAAGUAAG